rnacentral:rRNA from 1 species
CAGUCGCCGCGGGAAUACGAAGGGUGCAAGCGUUACUCGGAAUUACUGGGCGUAAAGCGUGCGUAGGUGGUGGUUUAAGUCUGCUGUGAAAUCCCCGGGCUCAACCUGGGAAUGGCAGUGGAUACUGGCUCGCUAGAGUGUGUCAGAGGAUGGUGGAAUUCCCGGUGUAGCGGUGAAAUGCGUAGAGAUCGGGAGGAACAUCAGUGGCGAAGGCGGCCAUCUGGGACAACACUGACGCUGAGGCACGAAAGCGUGGGGAGCAAACAGGAUUAGAUACCCCGGUAGUCCCUGUCUCUUAUAC